rnacentral:lncRNA from 1 species
AGGAGGGUGGCUUGGUGCACAGUGUGGUGCCACCAAGGCUCCCAGGAGACUACUCAGAAAGGAGACUGCCUGCAGCCACCUCGUUUCUAUAGGGGCCCAACGCCGGCAGCUGUGGGCAGCGGGGCUGGGAGGUGCUAACGGGAGCCAGCUGGGGCUGAGGGCACAGGUGGGGUGUCCACGGGGCAAUCAGCAAAGCCAGACUCCCCUGAUGGCCAGCUUUUCCUGCAAAGCGCAGCAGGGACCAAAUUUCCUUCUCUGAUUUAAACGCUUGCUUUUUCCCUAGCUGGUUUGCAUGAGAGUUUUUAAAGCUCACAACUGGGUUUAGAGAUGAAGGAAUCACAGCGUAAGAAAGGCUUCAAUGAAACAGCUUUGUCACAAGGUAGAGCAUCACUUGGUGACUUUGCAGAUGGGAAACGAGCCCUGCUGGCUUGGUCCACCAAGCACGUCCCAGUCCCUGUCUCCAGGUUGUCCAUGUGAAGGAUAGCUUGGUGAGAGCAGCUGUCUGAGCUCAUGGCGGAGGCGCGUGGGCUGCGGGUCCCACGCAGCUCAAGGUGCUCGCAGGGCAGCGGCGCUCAGCUCGGCUCCCGUCGCUCCCCUCUCCCCACCCUGGGAAAUCCCUCGGCCUCUGCAAACGGCUGCCUCGCACACACAUGCACGCAGGCAUAAAGGAAGACCCCAAACGCCGUCGCGCACAACCCCCGAGGAGGACAUGGAAGCUCUCGCUCCCGUGAGAAGCCACCGUCAAGAGAGCGGGUCUCUCCCGGCCGGACCCGCGGCACGGCGCAGCACCCAUGGGUUAACUCACCACCCAAACAAACAACUGCUGAAAAAAAAGGGAAGGUUGCCAAAAUAAAAAACAGCGUGCCCAAGAGGCCAGGCUGAGGUUACUCGGCCACGGAAGAGGCGAAACAAGAAGCCAGUUCUCCUUCCUUGGGGCCCGGCGGGAACAUUCUUUUCUUUCUCAUUUUUAUCUGCCUUCGGAAAACCAUCUUGUUUAGAUUGGGUUUCUUGAACUUACAAAGCAUGACUCAUGAGGUGACUCGAAAUGAGUUCUGGGUGGUCUGAUUGCCAGGUCUUUUUAACAGACCUCUGUCUGAAACCACAGCGAGGUCUGCUGGAAGUGCUGAUUUACGGGCACCAAACAACCAGUGGGUUCAGAGGCAGCGCAGGGGGCUGCAAAGAGAAGAUUUAAGCUCAGCUUUGUGAGGGUCCAGUGUAGCGUUCGACAGCCUGUAAGCGCAAAAGCUUCUUUACAGGGUCCUAAGUUUAAAUUAUUAUAAGGAGAGCAACGAGGCAGAAAAAAAGACUUGAUGUCUUAUUUCACUGCUUCUUCAUAAAAUCCUUUCUAUUCCCUUUAAAGCCUCACUGUCAACUGAAAUAAAACUCUAGAUUUAUUCCUGGGAAAGUGUAUG